rnacentral:rRNA from 1 species
AUGCUAUUUUGGGCUCGACCAUGUUAUGUGUACCUCAAAUUGAAGAUGCCUGGUCCCAAAGGUGUGAUCACUAUUACUGGCAAUCGAAAGAAGGCGGAAGAGUGCUUUCAGAAAGGCUCAAAGAUCGCCGAUGCUCAGAUGGAAGUGGUAGAGCUGCAGGAAUACCAGAAAAGUGCAGACCCGAGUGAUUUGUUGCGAGCCAAGAAGCCCGCUACGGAAUCAAUGUUUCAGUCGUCCGGCGAGACGAAAUCGAUUCACAUUCACCCGACCGACCCCAAUGCUGCUCCGACUCAUAUCUCUACAUCACUCGACUCCAAAUAG